CUAACAACACACAACAUUCCAGGAAUGUACUACCAAAGUUCUAUCAAUAUUUGAAUGUCCUGGACAUUUAGGGAACAUUCGGUGAACAUCUGUUUAAAUUAUUCCUGGAAUGUUACCAUAAGACAUUCUGUGAACAUACUACCAAUGUUCCUAUAUUUUAAGUUGCGAAAUAAUACAUACGUGUAACAGAUUCAGAUACAACAUUACUUAUAACAUACCAGACAAACUAAGUGACAUUUUAGGCCUACAGUGUCAAAUUUAAAGAGUUUCCCAAGUUCAAUUAAUACAAUAUUAUAAACAUACAAAUGUAAUAAAAAUUAUUGUUCGCGAAUAUUCAAUUUGGAAUGCGAUUUUGUUAAUAAAAAAAUACUUAUAACUUAUGCAAAACCCAAGAGAGGCAUUAUUUAUAUUUAUUUCUUUUGCGUUCAUUUUCAAAUUCGCCGUGCAUAUAUUUUUGUGCAUGGCGCUUGAGAGGGCAUCACGUGACUAAAAACGACCAACCAACGACCUCGCUUCGGCCAUCUUGGCAUCUUCAUUUUCAUUUCAUCUUGGCUUGGCCACCUUGCCCGGCCUUGCCUUGCCGUGGAUAGUUUGUAUUAUUUGUGCUUUUUAAGAAUAUUUUUUUAAUUCGGAUACUUUUAUAAUAGCUUUAAUAGUAUUAUUAACAUAGUGCAUAAAAUGGUGUCCUGUUUUUGACGCAGUUGGAGUAGCAGAAACAAAUGUAGAUAAAAAAAUCUGCAGGAAUAACGUUUCAAUUAUGACAGAAGCUCGAAACAAAUGACUGUGAAUUAGUGUGAAUGAAAAGCCCUAUUAAAAGCUUUCCAGAAGAUCCUGCGAAGAAGACAUGAAGUAUAGAUCAGAUUUGUUAAUAGAGGAGUAUGUUCAAAACACUUUUUAGAAAAAGAUAUUGACAGAACUUCACUUUCAUCUGUUCGUUUGAGAGACUGUGCUGUUCCAAUAGCUUAUGUCACACAGAAUCAGCUGAGAGAAGUGGUCUACAAAAAACCAGAAAGGAAACGGAAUAUGUGGCUACGAAAAGCAAAAGAAAGGUUUACAAAGCAAAUGUGACACAUUUUUUUAUAAUAUUUAGGAAUGUCAGUAAAUUACAUUAAAAAAUGUAUGUAAAGAUUUUUUGCAAUAAAAAUGUUUAUAUUUA